GUCGAGAAUCUUCCGCAAUGGGCGAAAGCCUGACGGAGCGACGCCGCGUGGAGGAUCGAAGGCCUUCGGGUUGUAAACUCCUUUCGAGCGGGGACGAAUAGCCUGGCGUGAAUAGCGUCGGGUGUGACUUAACCCGCAGAAGAAGCUCCGGCUAACCCUGUGCCAGCAGCCGCGGUAAUACAGGGGGAGCGAACGUUACUCGGAAUCACUGGGCAUAAAGGGCGCGUAGGCGGUCCUGUAAGUCGGAUGUGAAAGACCUUGGCUCAACCAAGGAAUGGCAUCCGAUACUGCGGGGCUUGAGGCCAAGAGGGGCAAGCGGAACUCCUGGUGGAGCGGUGAAAUGCGUAGAUAUCAGGAGGAACACCGGUGGCGAAGGCGGCUUGCUGGAUUGGUUCUGACGCUGAGGCGCGAAAGCCAGGGGAGCAAACGGGAUUAGAAACCCUUGUAGUCC
rnacentral:rRNA from 1 species